rnacentral:rRNA from 1 species
UAGGGAAUUUUCGGCAAUGGACGAAAGUCUGACCGAGCAACGCCGCGUGAACGAAGAAGUAUUUCGGUAUGUAAAGUUCUUUUAUUAGGGAAGAAAAACAAAUUGACUGUACCUAAUGAAUAAGCUCCGGCUAACUACGUGCCAGCAGCCGCGGUAAUACGUAGGGAGCGAGCGUUAUCCGGAAUUAUUGGGCGUAAAGGGUGCGUAGACGGCAAUAAAAGUCUUUUGUCAAAAUGCUGAGCUCAACUCAGUAGCGCAAAAGAAACUGUAUAGCUAGAGUAUGAUAGAGGCAAGUGGAACUCCAUGUGUAGCGGUAAAAUGCGUAAAUAUAUGGAAGAACACCAGUGGCGAAGGCGGCUUGCUAGAUCAAUACUGACGUUGAGGCACGAAAGCGUGGGGAGCAAACAGGAUUAGAUACCCUGGUA